rnacentral:rRNA from 1 species
GAUGAACGCUGGCGGCGUGCCUAAUACAUGCAAGUCGAGCGAACGGACGAGAAGCUUGCUUUUCUGAUGUUAGCGGCGGACGGGUGAGUAACACGUGGAUAACCUACCUAUAAGACUGGGAUAACUUCGGGAAACCGGAGCUAAUACCGGAUAAUAUUUUGAACCGCAUGGUUCAAAAGUGAAAGACGGUCUUGCUGUCACUUAUAGAUGGAUCCGCGCUGCAUUAGCUAGUUGGUAAGGUAACGGCUUACCAAGGCAACGAUGCAUAGCCGACCUGAGAGGGUGAUCGGCCACACUGGAACUGAGACACGGUCCAGACUCCUACGGGAGGCAGCAGUAGGGAAUCUUCCGCAAUGGGCGAAAGCCUGACGGAGCAACGCCGCGUGAGUGAUGAAGGUCUUCGGAUCGUAAAACUCUGUUAUUAGGGAAGAACAUAUGUGUAAGUAACUGUGCACAUCUUGACGGUACCUAAUCAGAAAGCCACGGCUAACUACGUGCCAGCAGCCGCGGUAAUACGUAGGUGGCAAGCGUUAUCCGGAAUUAUUGGGCGUAAAGCGCGCGUAGGCGGUUUUUUAAGUCUGAUGUGAAAGCCCACGGCUCAACCGUGGAGGGUCAUUGGAAACUGGAAAACUUGAGUGCAGAAGAGGAAAGUGGAAUUCCAUGUGUAGCGGUGAAAUGCGCAGAGAUAUGGAGGAACACCAGUGGCGAAGGCGACUCUCUGGUCUGUAACUGACGCUGAUGUGCGAAAGCGUGGGGAUCAAACAGGAUUAGAUACCCUGGUAGUCCACGCCGUAAACGAUGAGUGCUAAGUGUUAGGGGGUUUCCGCCCCUUAGUGCUGCAGCUAACGCAUUAAGCACUCCGCCUGGGGAGUACGACCGCAAGGUUGAAACUCAAAGGAAUUGACGGGGACCCGCACAAGCGGUGGAGCAUGUGGUUUAAUUCGAAGCAACGCGAAGGACCUUACCAAAUCUUGACAUCCUUUGACAACUCUAGAGAUAGAGCCUUCCCCUUCGGGGGACAAAGUGACAGGUGGUGCAUGGUUGUCGUCAGCUCGUGUCGUGAGAUGUUGGGUUAAGUCCCGCAACGAGCGCAACCCUUAAGCUUAGUUGCCAUCAUUAAGUUGGGCACUCUAAGUUGACUGCCGGUGACAAACCGGAGGAAGGUGGGGAUGACGUCAAAUCAUCAUGCCCCUUAUGAUUUGGGCUACACACGUGCUACAAUGGACAAUACAAAGAGCAGCGAAACCGCGAGGUCAAGCAAAUCCCAUAAAGUUGUUCUCAGUUCGGAUUGUAGUCUGCAACUCGACUACAUGAAGCUGGAAUCGCUAGUAAUCGUAGAUCAGCAUGCUACGGUGAAUACGUUCCCGGGUCU